rnacentral:rRNA from 1 species
UACGUAGGGGGCAAGCGUUGUCCGGAAUCAUUGGGCGUAAAGCGCGUGUAGGCGGCUCGGUAAGUCCGCUCUGAAAGUCCAGGGCUCAACCCUGGGAUGCGGGUGGAUACUGCCGAGCUCGAGUCCGGAAGAGGCGAGUGGAAUUCCUGGUGUAGCGGUGGAAUGCGCAGAUAUCAGGAGGAACACCAAUAGCGAAGGCAGCUCGCUGGGACGUUACUGACACUGAGGCGCGAAAGCGUGGGGAGCGAACAGG